rnacentral:rRNA from 1 species
AACGAACGCUGGCGGCAGGCUUAACACAUGCAAGUCGAACGCACCGCAAGGUGAGUGGCAGACGGGUGAGUAACGCGUGGGAACAUACCCUUUGGUUCGGGAUAGCUCAGGGAAACUUGGGGUAAUACCGGAUACGUGCGAGAGCAGAAAGAUUCAUCGCCGAAGGAUUGGCCCGCGUCUGAUUAGCUAGUUGGUGUGGUAACGGCGCACCAAGGCGACGAUCAGUAGCUGGUCUGAGAGGAUGAUCAGCCACAUUGGGACUGAGACACGGCCCAAACUCCUACGGGAGGCAGCAGUGGGGAAUAUUGGACAAUGGGCGCAAGCCUGAUCCAGCCAUGCCGCGUGAGUGAUGACGGCCCUAGGGUUGUAAAGCUCUUUUACCUGGGAAGAUAAUGACGGUACCAGGGGAAUAAGCCCCGGCUAACUUCGUGCCAGCCGCCGCCGUAACAC